ACAUGCGAGUAGAUUUGGAUAUGAAAAUAGAUCCGAACGGAUAUUAUCUGACCCAUUUUCAUCCCUAUUAAUACGUGAUGGUAUUCUCCUGUUCUCUAAGUUGUAUUAUGUAUCGCACUGAGGGUUGGCUUGCAAGACUGCUAGGUUAGGUUCAUACCUACAUGAACCUAGACCCAAAUUGGCUCUACAUCUAGGAUUUACAUUGGAUGUAACAUAUUGCUUGGUGGAUCAAAAUCAAGUUGAACCAUCAUUAUUAAGUCCAUUUGAGACAGUUUUGCUUUGACCCAAGGGAAAGGAUAUCUCCACCCAACAAAUUGUUAAACCUUUUCUUGCAAAACAUAUUGACCAAAAUUGGGGGUUGUUUGGACUCCUACAACUCAAUCCACCUCUAAGUUAAGCUGUAGAUAUGGGUCGGCCUCUCUAUUUGGCCAUCUGUUUCAAUUGCAUGCUACAAGUUGAGAUACAAACUUGUCCCGCAACUAAAAUAGGUGUAGAAUGAGCUUUAGCCACUCCACUCUUCCCUAAAAUACCCUCAUCGUGCUAUUUCCGUUCCCUUGCAAGACCCUCUACCCUUACAUCAUGUCCUCAUCGUAAUCUAUCCCUCUCUCUCUCUUUAGGACUCCUAGCCCCCUCAGCCCCCCCGGCUUCAGCUAGGCUUCCUUCCUCACGGACAUCCUUCAGAACAUCCAUAUCAGUGUCGAUUGCCCUCUUCUUCUCCCUACAUC
rnacentral:lncRNA from 1 species